rfam:Clostridiales bacterium 52_15 Ley3_66761_scaffold_2205, whole genome shotgun sequence.
UGCCCCUUGGCAAAAAUGAAAGCCGUGAAUGGCAUCGGCUAGUACCUUGCUUGGAAAACCGAUGAGGCUGACAAAGAG